CUACGGGCGGCUCCAGUGGGGAAUAUUGCACAAUGGGCGCAAGCCUGAUGCAGCCAUGCCGCGUGUAUGAAGAAGGCCUUCUGGUUGUAAAGUACUUUCAGCGGGGAGGAAGGGAGUAAAGUUAAUACCUUUGCUCAUUGACGUUACCCGCAGAAGAAGCACCGGCCAACUCCGUGCCAGCAGCCGCGGUAAUACGGAGGGUGCAAGCGUUAAUCGGAGAUUACUGGGCGUAAAGCGCACGCAGGCGGUUUGUUAAGUCAGAUGUGAAAUCCCCGGGCUCAACCUGGGAACUGCAUCUGAUACGGGCAAGCUUGAGGCUCGUAGAGGGGGGUAGAAUUCCAGGUGUAGCGGUGAAAUGCGUAGAGAUCUGGAGGAAUACCGGUGGCGAAGGCGGCCCCCUGGACGAAGACUGACGCUCAGGUGCGAAAGCGUGGGGAGCAAACAGGAUUAGAUACCCCAGUAGUC
rnacentral:rRNA from 1 species